ensembl:lncRNA
GUCCUGAGCUGUGAUACAGGAAAAAGAACCAGGAAAGACACCAACCAGAGGGUAGGAUGUUCAGGAGAGAAUGUGAAGUCAUCAGAGAGCAGCCACUUUUGACGGAUAGAACUACAGUGAAACAAUGAAACCCUAUAAGGAGAAAAUGAAGGUGGCCUCAUGAGUUUGACUAAAAUCGCCCAAGGUGCUUAAGACUAGUGCAGAAGGCCAAUCCCCCCUGUAGUCACCUGGGCCAUGCUCCUGCUUCCUGUUGCAGCCCACGGCCCACCAAGGCCACUGCCUAUGUGCAGCCCUACCUGCUUGCUCUUCCCUUUCCCCUGACUUCAAAAUAAAGCACCGGAUCCGGUGCAAUCUGCUGCACACCCGAGCCUGGAUUAACCCAGAGGUCUGCCUUCGCUUCUCUCACCGGGUGCCUUGGGGAUGCUGGAGAGAAGUACAGCACGGGAACCAGUGUCUUCACAAAGCCUUCUGGGAGAGUGGUCCAUUAUUGCCAUGGCAGCCUCAAUGCCUCUGGGUGAUCUCUACACCCUCACCAGCUCACCGAUGUCCUCAUGCGGAGCAGUUGCCACCUGACCUCACAGCCCUGACGACCUCAUCAGUCCUUUGACUCCUGUGGCUCUGACUGGGCCUCCGGCCUCUGGGUCACUGCUCCUUGUAGGCACCAGGGCCUACGGGCCACAGCAGCUACUCUGCUUCCUGGGUGAGGAACUCACCUGUCCCCUUUCACGCUGGACCUUGCUGUAACUUAGCCGUGAACUGACUGCUGAACAAAGCCAAAGACUGAGGAACCAAGUGAAAGUUAGAAAUGGCUGGGAGAGAAGUCCAAGAUGUUCUUGAAUAUUCUCGAGAACAUGAAGAAGAAUGUUUGGAGAAGAAUAUUCUGAGAACAAAAGGAACUGAGUGGUUAUGGGAGCAGAUUACAAUACAAGAAAAAGGGCCCCAGACUUAUGCAGGGAUCCAGGAGCUGAAGCUGAUGGUAACACCACACACCGGCCUCAUCAGAUAACUAAGUCAGGUCACACCUUGACAGACAGAGGUUCACCGCAUACCAAAAAAAAGAACUUCCUGGGAGGUGUGAAAUCGGGUAGAUUAGCUGGUACAUACCUGGAGAAGCCAUGUGAGAUCGGCAAGAUACAUUCAUGGGGACAAGUUGGGAGCUUGGAGCACCAGGCUGAUGUGGCUUGGGGAGCACUUGGUUCAGACUCAGUGAGUGUUAGGCUCUUUUAAAACUUCCUGUACAAGCACAUGAAGAAAGCGGAAGGUCCUUUUUGUGAGAAUUGCUGACUGGCAUGCAUUGUUUGACGGGAACUUCAAACUUCAUUUGACAGAGAUUCUAAUUGCACUCUUCCUCAUCCUGCUGGAGAAGCUGACAACCUAUAUUUUGCAGCUCAAAAAGGAAAAUGCAAGGCUCAACUUGUUUCUGAUGGAGAAUU